UUAGAGUUUGAUCAUGGCUCAGAUUGAACGCUGGCGGCAGGCUUAACACAUGCAAGUCGAGCGGAGAGAGGUAGCUUGCUACUGAUCUUAGCGGCGGACGGGUGAGUAAUGCUUAGGAAUCUGCCUAUUAGUGGGGGACAACAUUUCGAAAGGAAUGCUAAUACCGCAUACGUCCUACGGGAGAAAGCAGGGGAUCUUCAGACCUUGCGCUAAUAGAUGAGCCUAAGUCGGAUUAGCUAGUUGGUGGGGUAAAGGCCUACCAAGGCGACGAUCUGUAGCGGGUCUGAGAGGAUGAUCCGCCACACUGGGACUGAGACACGGCCCAGACUCCUACGGGAGGCAGCAGUGGGGAAUAUUGGACAAUGGGCGCAAGCCUGAUCCAGCCAUGCUGCGUGUGUGAAGAAGGCCUUAUGGUUGUAAAGCACUUUAAGCGAGGAGGAGGCUACUUUAGAUAAUACCUAGAGAUAGUGGACGUUACUCGCAGAAUAAGCACCGGCUAACUCUGUGCCAGCAGCCGCGGUAAUACAGAGGGUGCAAGCGUUAAUCGGAUUUACUGGGCGUAAAGCGCGCGUAGGCGGCUAAUUAAGUCAAAUGUGAAAUCCCCGAGCUUAACUUGGGAAUUGCAUUCGAUACUGGUUAGCUAGAGUGUGGGAGAGGAUGGUAGAAUUCCAGGUGUAGCGGUGAAAUGCGUAGAGAUCUGGAGGAAUACCGAUGGCGAAAGGCAGCCAUCUGGCCUAACACUGACGCUGAGGUGCGAAAGCAUGGGGAGCAAACAGGAUUAGAUACCCUGGUAGUCCAUGCCGUAAACGAUGUCUACUAGCCGUUGGGGCCUUUGAGGCUUUAGUGGCGCAGCUAACGUGAUAAGUAGACCGCCUGGGGAGUACGGUCGCAAGACUAAAACUCAAAUGAAUUGACGGGGGCCCGCACAAGCGGUGGAGCAUGUGGUUUAAUUCGAUGCAACGCGAAGAACCUUACCUGGCCUUGACAUAGUAAGAACUUUCCAGAGAUGGAUUGGUGCCUUCGGGAACUUACAUACAGGUGCUGCAUGGCUGUCGUCAGCUCGUGUCGUGAGAUGUUGGGUUAAGUCCCGCAACGAGCGCAACCCUUUUCCUUAUUUGCCAGCGAGUAAUGUCGGGAACUUUAAGGAUACUGCCAGUGACAAACUGGAGGAAGGCGGGGACGACGUCAAGUCAUCAUGGCCCUUACGGCCAGGGCUACACACGUGCUACAAUGGUCGGUACAAAGGGUUGCUACCUAGCGAUAGGAUGCUAAUCUCAAAAAGCCGAUCGUAGUCCGGAUUGGAGUCUGCAACUCGACUCCAUGAAGUCGGAAUCGCUAGUAAUCGCGGAUCAGAAUGCCGCGGUGAAUACGUUCCCGGGCCUUGUACACACCGCCCGUCACACCAUGGGAGUUUGUUGCACCAGAAGUAGCUAGCCUAACUGCAAAGAGGGCGGUUACCACGGUGUGGCCGAUGACUGGGGUGAAGUCGUAACAAGGUAACCGUAG
rnacentral:rRNA from 1 species